rnacentral:rRNA from 1 species
AUUGAACGCUGGCGGCAUGCCUUACACAUGCAAGUCGAACGGUAACAGGUCUUCGGAUGCUGACGAGUGGCGAACGGGUGAGUAAUACAUCGGAACGUGCCCGAGAGUGGGGGAUAACGAGGCGAAAGCUUUGCUAAUACCGCAUACGAUCUCAGGAUGAAAGCAGGGGACCGCAAGGCCUUGCGCUCACGGAGCGGCCGAUGGCAGAUUAGGUAGUUGGUGGGAUAAAAGCUUACCAAGCCGACGAUCUGUAGCUGGUCUGAGAGGACGACCAGCCACGCGGGGACUGAGACACGGCCCAGACUCCUACGGGAGGCAGCAGUGGGGAAUUUUGGACAAUGGGCGCAAGCCUGAUCCAGCCAUGCCGCGUGCAGGAUGAAGGCCUUCGGGUUGUAAACUGCUUUUGUACGGAACGAAAAGACUCUGGUUAAUACCUGGGGUCCAUGACGGUACCGUAAGAAUAAGCACCGGCUAACUACGUGCCAGCCGCCGCGGUAAAAC